rnacentral:lncRNA from 1 species
UGAGCAUUUCCUCCAAUCAGACUCAACCGGGAGUAGAGUUCAGAGCUCGGUGACUCAUGUUUGACAAGUAAAACAUUACUACAGCUCAUUUUAAAGCCUUUUUUGGACAAUCUUACAACCCUGGAAAAAAACUCUCCAUCAUGUUAGAAAGCAUCCAUCUCUACACAAGGUAAUUUUCACAUUUUACCAGUGUUUUGCACGUGUGUUCAUGAUGUAAAAAGAAUAGGUGAUUAUUUUUGAUUGAAAGCCUCAUAAUUCCUAAACAAUAGCCUUUAGAGUGUUUUUAUUCCCUCUCUUUUCUGCAGACUCUUUGUCCUGGUCUGUGCAGCCGUCAUGUCGUUUAUCAUGUGCUCAGAUGCUGCUAGAGGUGAGUGCGAACAAGCCAGUAUUUGCAGGGCUAAAAGUGCAGAGUGAGCAGUUUCUGUGAGCAACUGUUCAUCUUAAUGUCUCCUGAAAAAAAAAAUAUAACAAAGCAUGGGGCGUGUGUUGACUGAUUGGGCUGGAUGGAGGCCUGAAUAUUUGUUUCCUUAAGGCUACAUGGGAUUGUUUUUUUUGCUAGUCUUGCAUAGCCUGAAAAGUCAGGAGUUGGGCAAUGUAAUAGAAAUUUGGAGAGAUAAGCGGGAAGUUAGUUGAUUUUGGAGCGUUGAAGUUUUAGGUCACUGACUUUAAAUGAUCUAAAGAGCUGUUAACAUGAUAGUUAAAAAAGCAAUGAGCAGCCACUUAGGGAUAUCUGUUUGUUUAAAUUCAGUGUUGUUAUACUCUAGAUCAGCACUCUUUAAUGCCUCUUAUCUAAAUUUUUUAAUUCCUGUUCUUUUUCACCUUUAGCCAGUUCAAUAAUACGAAAAGCAGACCUUGAAGUGAAGCACAAAGUCUUCAAACAGCUGUACACUCCAAACACUCAGCAACAACAGCUCUUUACUGCCAUCCCAUCAACCGAAACUGGACUCCAAUCCGGACCUUCCAGCAGAACAGUGACACACUGGAAUCAUUGGGAACCUUCAUCAAUCAUUAACCAUCAAUCAAAACCCUGGCGGUUUCAAGGAGGUAGCUUUGGUUACAAUCAAAACAGCCCAGAUAACAGACACGCCCAUACUGGAAUGACAAGAGUGUGGAGUGGACCACAGCCAGGGAACAAUAUUUCCACCAGAGGCAAUCUGCAUGAAAACUUUGAGAGAUUUCAACCAAGAGUGAAUUACUAUCCCACAACCAGAAGUUUUCAUAAUUCAUACCCACCAAUAAUUAGGAAAUCACACCACAAAGAAGCUUCCAGUCCUCUUCAGCAGAAUUCUAGUUCUUCACAAGUUUGGAGGCCCAAUGUUGCUUGGAAAUCUAACUACCAAGAAAAACCACGAGAUGACCUUUCAAACAAGGUAGAGGAUACAACCCCUUUUUCAUUACAGACUCAUAGAUAUUCAAGUACUUUAUAUCCAACUCAAAGAAGGCAUUACAGCAGCUAUACGAAGACAAAUGGGCUCGCCGAUGCAGGGGCGGCGAGUACAUCUAGAGCGAUUCAAUCAAGAAAAUAUCCAAGCUUUGUGAGACAAACUGCCCCUCAUGCACCAUCAAUCAGCAACAGCCAAGACACCUAUGUUACUGAAAUCAACCCCAGCCCACGACCACUGAGGUCAUCCAUCAACGAUUUCUCCCUUGGGUGGCAACCUGAGCGAAGCAGUGAAACACCAAGACAAAAAAAUAUCCAGUCAUAUCUGUUUAAAGAUACCACAGCAUCUUUAAGUGGACAUCAGUCAUUAAACACAGGAAGUAUAGAAGGACCUGGCCUUUUUACCACAACAUCACAAACUCAAAAACCCUUAGGUGCACAGGUUUAUGGCAGGUUUUCUUCACAUUUCCAAGGUCAAACCAAGGGCAUAAGAAAACCAUCUGAGAGUGUCAGUCCACUCCAUCAAACUGCUCAUGUGACCCAGAGAGACAAAUCCACGCAAUCUUAUCGCACAGUGGCAGGAAAUCCUCCCCAAACACUGCCACAUCCUGUUCAAGGGACAGAUGACUCCAUGGAAAGAUUUGUCCCUAACCUCUAUAGAGAUUCCCAGGAUAAUAACUAUGCCAAUAUGAAAGGAAAACCUGCACUAAGUAGUCUUGCUAAUCCAACCGCGAGUGGAUCAAUACAGCCACAAAAGCCUGAACAAACCAAUAAAAGCAUCUACAGCUUCAGAGGGUUUCAAAAUCCUGCGUGGAGGGCUCUGAAGAAACCAUCUGUUCUUUCAUCUGAAGGCUUGAAUGACAGUACAAACUCUCGGCGAUACAACUCUUACAAAGGGUCACGAAAGUAUAGCUUUGGGCGAAGACAAUUCACUACAAUGAUGAAACCAGAGCGACAACUAACAGACGAUUCCUCUCCUUCCCAGCGUACUUUUGAUGUAACCCAAAUCCCUAGUACUCCAAAGCUGAUUCUGUUAGGAUUUAAAGAAGUACAACCUCAGAAACCUGUAAGCGAUGCUGGUUUCGGCAACCAAACGGAUGGCAGAAAGUACAGGAUCUUCAGAAGAAUAUAUGGUCUCAAAGGUUUUAGUAAUCAACCACUUGAGGGAGCCAAAGCUUCACCUAGUCGACCAGAGGAGUCCACCAAAGUCCAGCAGGACUUGGAAGGUUUCAAACUCAGGAGCUCAAGGAUCUGGCAACCAGGAGGCAGCACACUUGAGAUAUAUAGGGUAAAUAAAGCAAAUGAAAAAGAGAAAGAAUCAAAACUAGAUUUGAAUAAGGCUGAAGCUUCUUUUAAGACACCAGGAAGCUCAAAAUCAGACAGAAAAUUUAUACCUGGAAGUUACAAAAAGAAUCGUGGAAUCUAUAACCAUCCUGGAUUUCAAAGAAACAAACCUGUAGAUGCUACCAACAAAACAAACUGGACGAAUAAAGAACAGUUGCUGAGUCAGGGACUUUCGUCUGCUUUCCUCAGACCCACUGGGCCUCUUAAGGUUCAGUCUUACCUGAACCCAGGCCAAAGAGAGUCAAACAAAACCAACCCUGUUGAAAUAAAAGCCAGACUGUUCAACAGUUUUACCAGUUCGACUGUGAGAGGAAAACGAGUGAAAGGGAAACAAGCUAACACCAAAAGUCUCAGUGAAUCUACCUCACUUACCAAUACUGCUGGGAAUGCUGCCAUAGUCAGGCUACCAAAGCAACCCAAGAAAGCAGUAAAAACAGUCACUUACUCUGAUAUUCUUGGAAGUGCUUCGUUUAGCAAUGUCAGGGCAACAACCCAAACACCAGUCACAUCGGCUGACAAGAAUAAUGACCGAAACAUCACAGCUACCACCAAGCCAGAAGCAGAGGCAGCUCACUGGAGCCUGAAGUCAGAGGAUGCUGUGUUUGGUAGAGAAUACUCAAGCAGAGUGCCUGAGGGACAAGCGGGGGACAGGGUUAAGGAUAUCAGUGGUGUUCAGGAAAAUGAGACAGAUCAAAUAAGUAAAGGUUUAAAAACACCAGACUCCACUCAGGAUUUUGAAGGAAGUGGAAGCGGGGAUUUUAAUCUGUUUGA